rnacentral:rRNA from 1 species
UGAAAAGAACCUGAAACCGUCAUAGGGGAAGCGGAUUGCGUUAGAUUGAUGGGCGCUUAUGUGUUCAGCCAUUGGGUGCAUUGGCAUGAGUGCUUAACCGUUGUGAGUUUUUUCGAGUUGAAUUUGAAUUCUUGAAAGCUGAGGGCUCCCCUUUUUUGGGUUGAGGACAGCGGUGUAAUGACGCGAUACGACCCGUCUUGAAACACGGACCAAGGAGUCUAGCAUGGCUGCGAGUCAGAGGGUGCAAGCCCGAGGGCGCAGUGAAAGCGAGUGUGAAAACGAGCAGUUUGAGGCGGCAUAAAAUCGUUGAUUUUACGACCGACCUAGAGCAGUUAUGCUGGGACCCGAAAGAUGGUGAACUAUGCCUGAAUAGGGCAAAGCCAGAAGAAAUUCUGGUGGAGGCUCGUAGCGGUGCUGACGUGCAAAUCGCUCGUCGAAUUUGGGUAUAGGGGCGAAAGACUAAUCGAACCAUCUAGUAGCUGGUUCCCUCCGAAGUUUCUCUCAGGAUAGCGGGCCGACAAUAGUUGUCUUGUGCGGUAAAG